CAGCCCGCAAGACCUCGCCGCCUGCCCAGCUCUGUCAUUGACUAAGGUUGCUUUUGUCAGUACAGCCGCCAGGGGUUUCCACGCUCAUUCCCCUCCGGACAGGGUGGACAGCUUUGGUGAUAGACAACUGGGAGGUAAAACUCCACAGAGCCAUGCCAGCGACUGACCGCCCAGGGACAGGAGAUGGAGACGUUCAGCUGCAAAGGCUACGGAGGAACCCCCGCAAUUGGAAUCUCUCCAUGCCUUCUGCAGCAUGGAACAUACUCCGGGACCUACCGGGGCUCUCUCGGGCCACCUCUGAGUGCGAGAGAAAAGAGUGCAGUUCAAGGAAGGGAAUGUGUCUGUCAUCCCACCACUUGCGCGCAAGGCCAGUUCCGGGAUCAGCAGGCUUCCUUCACCAGCACGGGAUCUUCAUUAGCAACCACUGGGAGGGAGUGUGUGCGGAGUCACGUCAAGAUGGGAAGGCACAUGUUCCCAUCUUGACAGCAGCAGAAAGAAAAAUGGCAGCAGAAGGAAAACAGCAGCAGAAAGAAAAAUUUGACUCAGAUGGGUUGAGAGGGCAAUGGCAAGCAAUCUUGGUACAUGUCAGCUGCAUCUCAGAGUCUCGCUUUGUUGCCCAGGCAGUGGCGUGAUCUUGGCUCACUCCAAACUCCGCCUCCUGAGUUCAAGCGAUACUCCUGCCUCAGCCUCCUGAGCAGCUGGAAUUACAGGAGCUUGCCACCACAGCUGUCUAAUUUCUUGGUUUUUGUUUUUGUUUUUGAGAUGGAGUUUCGCUCUUGUCACCCAGGCUGGAGUGCCAUGGUGGGAUCUCAGCUCACUGCAACCUCUGCCUCCCGGGUUCAAGUGAUUCUCCGGCUUCAGCCUCCCAAGUAGCUAGGAUUACAGGCAUGAGCCACCACACCUGGCUAAUUUUUUGUAUUUUUAGUAGAGAUGGA
rnacentral:antisense_RNA from 1 species